rnacentral:rRNA from 1 species
GACGAACGCUGGCGGCGUGCUUAACACAUGCAAGUCGAACGAAGAGCGAUGGAAGCUUGCUUCUAUCAAUCUUAGUGGCGAACGGGUGAGUAACGCGUAAUCAACCUGCCCUUCAGAGGGGGACAACAGUUGGAAACGACUGCUAGUACCGCAUACGAUCUAACCUCGGCAUCGAGGAUAGAUGAAAGGUGGCCUCUACAUGUAAGCUAUCACUGAAGGAGGGGAUUGCGUCUGAUUAGCUAGUUGGAGGGGUAACGGCCCACCAAGGCGAUGAUCAGUAGCCGGUCUGAGAGGAUGAACGGCCACAUUGGGACUGAGACACGGCCCAGACUCCUACGGGAGGCAGCAGUGGGGAAUCUUCCGCAAUGGACGAAAGUCUGACGGAGCAACGCCGCGUGAGUGAUGACGGCCUUCGGGUUGUAAAGCUCUGUUAAUCGGGACGAAAGGCCUUCUUGCGAAUAGUGAGAAGGAUUGACGGUACCGGAAUAGAAAGCCACGGCUAACUACGUG